AAGUCGUAACAAGGUUUCCGUAGGUGAACCUGCGGAAGGAUCAUUAUGAAUCAGUAGCUUGCUACUAUGCUGGGGUAGACGGGAAAGUCCUAGCUGAAAAGCUAGAGUGCCGGUACCUGUACUCCUAUCAUACCCUUGUCUUUUGAGUACUUAUGUUUCCUUGGUAGGCUUGCCUGCCAAAAGGACAAACUUGAAACCUAUUUAAAUAUCAAUCAGCGUCUGAUAAUAAAUUAAUGAAUUACAACUUUCAACAACGGAUCUCUUGGUUCUG
rnacentral:misc_RNA from 1 species